UCACGGCCCAUGCCGGCUCAGAGCAGGCGACUGCGGGAGCGCCCGGAGCGCUGGUGGGACCCGCCGGCGAGCACCGGGCCUGAGCCUCCUUGGACCUGGGGUCCGCCUCUCCCCCCAACAUCUGUGGCCGCAGCCGGGCACUUGGGAAAGUUGCUAAGGCCGAGGAGGCGGGAGGAGAGAAAGCGAGGAGAGAGGCGGAGGCGUGGACCCGGCGGGCAGCAGCCUCAGCCCGCUGGGGAGUGAUCCUCCAACUGUGAAAAGCCAGACCUCUGGCUGCCUGACUCCCUAGGAAUCAGGGAGAUGCACAGACUGAAAAUCGGGAAGGAAAGGAACAAGAUCAAGGAUGAGGAUUAGCAUCUGCAAAUUGAACUCUAUCUAAUUUGCAUGUUUAUUUCUUAGAAUUGUAAUUAAAUUUGUGUAAUAAAUGUUUUYCAUUUCAUUUGUAUACUUAAAAUUUGGGUGACUGACAUGCAGUUAAGUGAAUUUCCUUUUUCCUUUUUAAAGAAAAUGUGGUUUAUUCAAUAAAGCAGCAAACAAAUAUUAAGCAUAAUUAGAACUAA